UAGGGAAUCUUCGGCAAUGGACGGAAGUCUGACCGAGCAACGCCGCGUGAGAGAAGAAGGUUUUCGGAUCGUAAAGCUCUGUUGUUAGAGUAGAACGUUGGUAGGAGUGGAAAAUCUACCAAGUGACGGUAACUAACCAGAAAGGGACGGCUAACUACGUGCCAGCAGCCGCGGUAAUACGUAGGUCCCGAGCGUUGUCCGGAUUUAUUGGGCGUAAAGCGAGCGCAGGCGGUUCUUUAAGUCUGAAGUUAAAGGCAGUGGCUUAACCAUUGUACGCUUUGGAAACUGGAGGACUUGAGUGCAGAAGGGGAGAGUGGAAUUCCAUGUGUAGCGGUGAAAUGCGUAGAUAUAUGGAGGAACACCGGUGGCGAAAGCGGCUCUCUGGUCUGUAACUGACGCUGAGGCUCGAAAGCGUGGGGAGCAAACAGG
rnacentral:rRNA from 1 species